GCCUGCCUAGUGGACAUGGCAUCUGCCCGGUAAGCAGAACACUGUGGGUUCGAUUCCCAUCCCUGGACA